UGUUAAAAAUUUCAUCUAAUUCUACUUUUAAAAAUUGGCAUACUUAAUGAAAUAAUACGUGGAUGUCAUGUAUACCUCAUGCUGAGUUAGAUGAAUCAAUUAUUAACCAUAAAAAUGAAUAAAAUUUUUAACA
rnacentral:pre_miRNA from 1 species